rnacentral:lncRNA from 1 species
GGAUAUCAUCCAAUCUGUUGAGGGCCUGCAUAGAACAAAAAGGCAGAGAACAUUGAAUUCCCUCUCUGUCUGAUGGUUGAAGUGGGACAUGGAGCUUCUCCUGCCCUUGGUGCUCCUGGUUUUCAGGACUUCAGACUUGGACUGGAAUCUAUGCCAUUGACCUCCGACUCUCAGGCCUUCAGACUACAGCAAUAGUUUUCCUAAGUCUCCAGCUUGCAGACAGCAAUAUCAGAUCAUGGGACUUCUCAGCCUCCAUAUCUGAGCCAAUACUUUGUGAUAAAGAAGGAUAUUCUAUUGGUUCUGCUUGUCUGGAGAACACUGAUGAAUACAUAUACAGCCUUUAAGGUCAUAAGAGUGGGGUCCUAAUAUGAUACGACUGAUGUUCUUGUAAGAAGAGAGCAAAACAGAGUCUGCCACUCCCACACAGAGAAGAGGCUAUUAAGGAUACAGUGAGACGGCAGCUGUCUGGAAACCAGGAAGGAGCCUCACUAAAAUCCAGCCCUGAUGGCACCUGGAUCAUGGACUUUCAAUUCCAGCACUGUGAGAAAAUAAAUUUCUGCUGCUUAAGCCACCCAGUCUGAUAUUUUGUGAUGGCAGUCCAAGCUGACUAAGACACCUGCCAAUCAUUAAGAAAAAGACAACCCAGCAAGGAGAAAAAGGCAAGAGACUUGAACAAGCACCUCACAAAAAUACCUCAAGGGCCAAUACAUAUGACAGAAUAUAUAUAGCAUCAGGGAUCUGCACAGGAAAACAGAAGCUACUCUAUGUAUUCCAGGUGUGAAGGGCUUUAUUAGAGGGAAUUAGAAGCUUAUAAAAACAUUUAGAGAGCUGGAAGAGUAGAGCUCAGAGAAGCUCCCACCCUCUCAGUCUACAUCAGUAAAGCCAAUAGUUCCCAAGAGUUUGUGUUCUCCAUAUAAUAGUUCUCAACAGGCUUCUAUGAAUCUAAUGUCUGCCUAUGAGUCUUGCUACAACCUCUUCUGAAGAAUAUGACCUUCCCUUCCCUUCUAGGAAUUGCCUCUAAAUGUUAGACUUCAAUGCAAAAUAAGACAGGUGGUUGUUAGGACUGUAGUCUCUGGUUUACCCUCUGUCAUACAGAAAAUAUCUUAGUAGGGAUGCUAAAUUUAAU